rnacentral:rRNA from 1 species
AAGACCUUGCGCUUUUGGAGCGGCCGAUGCCUGAUUAGCUUGUUGGUAAGGUAAAAGCUUACCAAGGCUUCGAUCAGUAGCUGGUCUGAGAGGACGACCAGCCACACUGGGACUGAGACACGGCCCAGACUCCUAUGGGAGGCAGCAGUGGGGAAUUUUGGACAAUGGGGGCAACCCUGAUCCAGCCAUGCCGCGUGAGUGAAGAAGGCCUUCGGGUUGUAAAGCUCUUUCAGCCGGAACGAAACGGUUACGGUUAAUACCCGUGACUACUGACGGUACCGGAAGAAGAAGCACCGGCUAACUACGUGCCAGCAGCCGCGGUAAUACGUAGGGUGCGAGCGUUAAUCGGAAUUACUGGGCGUAAAGCGUGCGCAGGUGGUUUUGUAAGUCAGAUGUGAAAGCCCCGGGCUCAACCUGGGAACU